AACGAACGCUGGCGGCGUGCCUAACACAUGCAAGUCGUGCGAGAACGGGGGGCAACUCCCUAGUACAGCGGCGCACGGGUGAGUAACACGUAGGUAAUCUACCCCCGAGUUCGGGAUAACCUACCGAAAGGUGGGCUAAUACCGGUUAUGACCACGGCGGUUUCGGCCGCUGCGGUGAAAGGUGGCCUCUACUUGUAAGCUACCGCUCGAGGAUGAGCCUGCGCGCCAUUAGCUAGUUGGCGGGGUAACGGCCCACCAAGGCGAUGAUGGCUAGCUGGUCUGAGAGGAUGGCCAGCCACACUGGAACUGACACACGGUCCAGACUCCUACGGGAGGCAGCAGUGGGGGAUAUUGCGCAAUGGGCGAAAGCCUGACGCAGCGACGCCGCGUGGGUGAUGAAGGCCUUCGGGUCGUAAAGCCCUGUCGAGGGGGAAGAACAGGUCGUGGUCGAAUAGCCCACGACUCUGACGGUACCCCUAAAGGAAGCACCGGCUAACUCCGUGCCAGCAGCCGCGGUAAUACGGAGGGUGCGAGCGUUGUUCGGAAUCACUGGGCGUAAAGCGCGUGUAGGCGGCUCAGUAAGUCUGGUGUGAAAGCCCGGGGCUCACCCCCGGAAGUGCACUGGAAACUGCGGAGCUCGAGUCCCGGAGAGGAGAGUGGAAUUCCUGGUGUAGCGGUGAAAUGCGUAGAUAUCAGGAGGAACACCGGUGGCGAAGGCGGCUCUCUGGACGGUGACUGACGCUGAGACGCGAAAGCGUGGGUAGCAAACAGGAUUAGAUACCCUGGUAGUCCACGCUGUAAACGAUGAGCACUAGGUGUCGCGGGUAUUGACCCCUGCGGUGCCGCCGCUAACGCAUUAAGUGCUCCGCCUGGGGACUACGACCGCAAGGUUAA
rnacentral:rRNA from 1 species